rnacentral:rRNA from 1 species
UACAGAGGGUGCGAGCGUUAAUCGGAAUUACUGGGCGUAAAGCGUGCGUAGACGGUUAUUUAAGUCGGAUGUGAAAGCCCCGGGCUCAACCUGGGAAUUGCAUUCGAGACUGAAUAGCUAGGGUACGGUAGAGGGAAGUGGAAUUUCCGGUGUAGCGGUGAAAUGCGCAGAUAUCGGGAGGAACACCUAUUGCGAAGGCAGCUCGCUGGGACGGUACUGACGCUGAGACGCGAAAGCGUGGGGAGCAAACAGG